rnacentral:rRNA from 1 species
CCUACGGGGGGCAGCUGUGGGGAAUAUUGGGCAAUGGGCGCAAGCCUGACCCAGCAACGCCGCGUGAAGGAAGAAGGCUUUCGGGUUGUAAACUUCUUUUCUCAGGGACGAAGAAAGUGACGGUACCUGAGGAAUAAGCCACGGCUAACUACGUGCCAGCAGCCGCGGUAAUACGUAGGUGGCAAGCGUUAUCAGGAUUUACUGGGUGUAAAGGGCGUGUAGGCGGGACUGCAAGUCAGAUGUGAAAACCACGGGCGCAACCUGUGGCCUGCAUUUGAAACUGUAGUUCUUGAGUACUGGAGAGGCAGACGGAAUUCCUAGUGUAGCGGUGAAAUGCGUAGAGAUUAGGAGGAACACCAGUGGCGCAGGCGGUCUGCUGGACAGCAACUGACGCUGAGGCGCGAAAGCGUGGGGAGCAAACAGGAUUAGAUACCCCAGUAGUC